rnacentral:rRNA from 1 species
UACGUAGGGGGCUAGCGUUGUCCGGAUUUAUUGGGCGUAAAGAGCGUGUAGGCGGCCAGGUAGGUCUGCUGUGAAAACUCGAGGCUCAACCUCGAGAUGUCGGCGGAAACCAUCUGGCUAGAGUCCGGAAGAGGAGAGUGGAAUUCCUGGUGUAGCGGUGAAAUGCGCAGAUAUCAGGAAGAACACCCGUGGCGAAGGCGGCUCUCUGGGACGGUACUGACGCUGAGGCGCGAAAGCCAGGGGAGCAAACGGGG